UACGUAGGGGGCAAGCGUUGUCCGGAAUUAUUGGGCGUAAAGAGCGUGUAGGCGGUCCGGUAAGUCAGCUGUGAAAGUCAAAGGCUCAACCCUUGAAUGCCGGUUGAUACUGUCGGGCUAGAGUCCGGAAGAGGCGAGUGGAAUUCCCGGUGUAGCGGUGAAAUGCGCAGAUAUCGGGAGGAACACCAAUGGCGAAGGCAGCUCGCUGGGACGGUACUGACGCUGAGACGCGAAAGCGUGGGGAGCAAACAGG
rnacentral:rRNA from 1 species